GAUGAACGCUAGCGGCAGGCUUAACACAUGCAAGUCGAGGGGUAACAGGAAGUGCUUGCACUUUGCUGACGACCGGCGCACGGGUGCGUAACGCGUAUACAAUCUACCUUUUGCUGAGGGAUAGCCCAGAGAAAUUUGGAUUAAGACCUCAUGGUAUUACAUAGUUGCAUAAUUAAGUAAUUAAAGGUUACGGCAAAAGAUGAGUAUGCGUCCUAUUAGCUAGAUGGUAAGGUAACGGCUUACCAUGGCAACGAUAGGUAGGGGCCCUGAGAGGGGGAGUCCCCCACACUGGUACGUGAGACACGGACCAGACUCCUACGGGAGGCAGCAGUGAGGAAUAUUGGGCAAUGGAGGCAACUCUGACCCAGCCAUGCCGCGUGCAGGAAGACUGCCCUAUGGGUUGUAAACUGCUUUUAUACAGGAAGAAACACUCCCUCGAGUAGGGAGCUUGACGGUACUGUAAGAAUAAGGAUCGCUAACU
rnacentral:rRNA from 1 species